CCUGCAGUACUUUAAGCCUCACUGCCAAUUUACAGAGCACAGAAUAAAACAGAAGAGAAUAAAAUGAUAUGGGUUGCAGCUUCCCAGUUGUAACGAGCAAAAGGAUAGGAGCCUCAGACUCUUAGUUCUGAACCCUGCCUGGGUUCCUCCCCAGCUCUGUGACUUUGACCAAGUUAUUUGAUGUCAUGAGCUUCAAUUUCCUCAUAUACAAGUAGAAAACACUUGAAAUUUCAACAAUGUACAGCAGGUUGUCAGAUUUAGCAGGUAUCCAAAGGAAUUGUGAAACUUCACUGAAGCGAAUGCUCUGUUCUUUUAUCCAUGAGGGGCCAUUUCUGGUGACCUACUUAUACAUUUGGGAUGUGUUAUAGAAUGAAUGCCAACUGGCCUGCCGACCAAGCUGGAAGAUACACACACCCAGAGGACUCUAUGGUAGCACUGGGCAUAAAAAACAUGCCUCCUGGAAGUGUGCCUGCCAGCAUUCUCCGGUUAUUUUAUAAGACAUGGCCUUUCUUGAAUGUAUCUACAGUUCAGAGAAAAUUCAGCCUGCAACUGGAACCCUGAAUUCACUCAGGAAAUGUGGCAGUAAUAUGUGAGACAUAUUUCUGGUUCUGAGCCAGCCUCGUAGGCACAGUAACACCAGGGACUUAAGGUUGAAAAUGUGGUUUCAAUAAGAAUGUUCUCAAGGAAAUGUGUGUAUUGGAGAUAAUUUAGAUCUACGUGGAGACUUGCACAGACCUCUACAAAGCCCUAGGAAGAAUA
rnacentral:lncRNA from 1 species